rnacentral:rRNA from 1 species
AGAGUUUGAUCAUGGCUCAGGACGAACGCUGGCGGUGCGCCUUAUGCAUGCAAGUCGAGCGAAGCUUUUCAGUAGUUUACUACAGAAAAUGACUGAGCGGCGAACGGGUGAGUAACGCGUGAGCAACCUACCUUAGUUACUGGGAUAGCCCGAGGAAACUCGGAUUAAUACCGGAUAUUCUUAUUUAAUCACAUGAUUUUUUAAGGAAAGGUCAGCCGAACUAAGAUGGGCUCGCGUUCUAUCAGCUAGUUGGUAGGGUAAUGGCCUACCAAGGCUACGACGGAUAGCUGGUCUGAGAGGACGAUCAGCCACACUGGGACUGAGACACGGCCCAGACUCCUACGGGAGGCUGCAGCAGGGAAUAUUGCGCAAUGAGCGAAAGCUUGACGCAGCGACACCGCGUGUGGGAUGACGGAUCUAGGUUUGUAAACCACUUUCAGGAGGGAAGAAAAUGACGGUACCUCCACAAGAAGCCCCGGCCAACUACGUGCCAGCAGCCGCGGUAAUACGUAGGGGGCGAGCGUUGUCCGGAUUUAUUGGGCGUAAAGAGCUCGUAGGCGGUUCAACAAGUCGGUCGUGAAAGUUCAGGGCUCAACCCUGAAAUGUCGAUCGAUACUGUUGUGACUAGGAUACGGUAGAGGUGAGUGGAAUUCCGAGUGUAGCGGUGAAAUGCGUAGAUAUUCGGAGGAACACCAAUUGCGAAGGCAGCUCACUGGGCCGCUAUCGACGCUGA